rnacentral:rRNA from 1 species
CCCUCUCGGGUUACCGAAUUCAGACAAACUCCGAAUGCCAAUCAAUUUAACUUGGGAGUCAGAACAUGGGUGAUAAGGUCCGUGUUCGAAAGGGAAACAGCCCAGACCACCAGCUAAGGUCCCAAAAUAUAUGUUAAGUGGAAAAGGAUGUGGCGUUGCCCAGACAACUAGGAUGUUGGCUUAGAAGCAGCCAUCAUUUAAAGAGUGCGUAAUAGCUCACUAGUCGAGUGACACUGCGCCGAAA